rnacentral:rRNA from 1 species
AGCAGCCGCGGUAAUUCCAGCUCCAAUGGCGUAUAUUAAAGUUGUUGCAGUUAAAAAGCUCGUAGUUGAAUUUCGGGAUCAAAUUGUUGGUCGUGCUUCGGUACGCACUGGCAUUAUUGGUUCCUACCUUCUGAAGAACCGCGAUGUCAUUAAUUUGGUGUCGUGGGGAAUCAGGACUGUUACUUUGAAAAAAUUAGAGUGUUUAAAGCAGGCGCACGCUUGAAUACAUUAGCAUGGAAUAAUGAAAUAGGACGUUUGAUUCUAUUUUGUUGGUUUCUAGGAUCGACGUAAUGAUUAAUAGGGAUAAUUGGGGGCAUUAGUAUUCAAUUGUCAGAGGUGAAAUUCUUGGAUUUAUUGAAGACUAACUACUGCGAAAGCAUUUGCCAAGGAUGUUCUCAUUAAUCAAGAACGAAAGUUAGGGGAUCGAAGACGAUCAGAUACCGUCGUAGUCUUAACCAUAAACUAUGCCGACUAGGGAUCGGAUGAUGUUAAUUUUAUAAUGACUCA